rnacentral:rRNA from 1 species
UACGUAGGGGGCUAGCGUUGUCCGGAUUUAUUGGGCGUAAAGAGCGCGUAGGCGGCCUGCUAAGUCGGAUGUGAAAUCCCUCGGCUCAACCGAGGAACUGCAUCCGAUACUGGCGGGCUUGAAUCCGGGAGAGGGAUGUGGAAUUCCAGGUGUAGCGGUGAAAUGCGUAGAUAUCUGGAGGAACACCGGUGGCGAAGGCGGCAUCCUGGACCGGUAUUGACGCUGAGGCGCGAAAGCUAGGGGAGCAAACGGG